rnacentral:rRNA from 1 species
UACGUAGGGUGCAAGCGUUAAUCGGAAUUACUGGGCGUAAAGCGUGCGCAGGCGGCUUUGCAAGACAGAUGUGAAAUCCCCGGGCUUAACCUGGGAACUGCAUUUGUGACUGCAUGGCUAGAGUGCGGCAGAGGGGGAUGGAAUUCCUGGUGUAGCGGUGAAAUGCGCAGAUAUCAGGAAGAACACCCGUGGCGAAGGCGGCUCUCUGGAACGCAACUGACGCUGAAGACGCGAAAGCGUGGGGAGCAAACAGG